CGAGCUCAAAUUUGAAAUCUGGGGCCCUCGGCCUCCGAGUUGUAAUUUGGAGAGGCAUCUUCGGAGGGGAGCGCCGGCCCAUGUUCCUUGGAACAGGACGUCGCAGAGGGUGAGAAUCCCGUGCCAGGCCGGCAGCCUCCCCUCGCGUGAAGGGCCUUCGACGAGUCGAGUUGUUUGGGAAUGCAGCUCCAAGUGGGUGGUAUAUUUCAUCUAAAGCUAAAUACCGGCGGGAGACCGAUAGCGCACAAGUAGAGUGAUCGAAAGAUGAAAAGCACUUUGAAAAUAGAGUCAAAAAGUACGUGAAAUUGUUGAAAGGGAAGCGCUUGAGACCAGACUCAGACCCGAGCAAACACCGCGCCCCUCGGGGCCGUGCACUUGCCAGGGGCUGGGCCAGCAUCAGUCGGCGUGGCGGGACAAAGGCGAGGGCAAUGUGGCUCCCCUCGGGGAGUGUUAUUAGGCCCACGCUCAAUGCCGCCGACGUCGACUGAGGACCGCGCCUCGGCUAGGAUGCUGGCUUAAUGGCCUUCAGCGACCCGUCUUGAAACACGGACCAAGGAGUCUAACAUCUAUGCGAGUGUUUGGGCGUC
rnacentral:rRNA from 1 species